GACGAACGCUGGCGGCGUGCUUAACACAUGCAAGUCGAACGGAAAGGCCCUGCUUGCAGGGUACUCGAGUGGCGAACGGGUGAGUAACACGUGGGUGAUCUGCCCUGCACUUCGGGAUAAGCCUGGGAAACUGGGUCUAAUACCGUAUAGGAGCCAUUUUUAGUGUGAUGGUUGGAAAGUUUUUUCGGUGUAGGAUGAGCUCGCGGCCUAUCAGCUUGUUGUUGGGGUAAUGGCCUACCAAGGCGGCGACGGGUAGCCGGCCUGAGAGGGUGGACGUCCACAUUGGGACUGAGAUAAGGCCCAGACUCCGACGGGAGGCAGCAGUGGGGAAUAUUGCACAAGGGGCGCAAGCCGGAUGCAGCGACGCCGCGGGGGGGAUGACGGCCUUCGGGUUGUAAACGCCUUUAGAUAGGGACGAAGCUUUUUGUGACGGUACCUAGAUAAGAAGCACCGGCUAACUACGUG
rnacentral:rRNA from 1 species